rnacentral:misc_RNA from 1 species
CGCCUGCUGCCGAGCGCUGCCCCUCUAGAUCCCUGCUUUCGCUGCCCGCAGCACGGCGUUGUCGGUUGGGCGUGACUCCUUGCACCUCGUAGGUACGACCCUAUCUCGCAACCCCCAGAUUCGCGAGCCCCUGUGCGCGGCGGCUGUGCCGAGUUAUCGAAGACGCAUCACCUUAACCCCUCCCUGCCCUCCCCACUUUAGCCGCUGCGGCUGGCGUGCCGGUGCGCGCGUGCGUCGUGCGAGCUUUGCUGAUGAUGCGUGAGGAGCGCUCCUCCCAUCCUCCAAAAGAGCAGAAUUAACCAACUGACGCUUUCACGGUGCCGUUGCCGCCGCGCCCCUCUGCUCCCCGGCUGCCCUCGCGGGCGGCGGUGCUGCUGAGCGGCCGCUGCGGCUGCGGUGCGUGCGUGAUGCCGAGCGGUGCUGAAUGGCAAAGACUCUGCGCUUGUGUGUGUGCGUGUACGCCGGGCAAGGCUUCCUCUCCGCUCCCCGCCGUGCGGCUGCCAGCAACCGAGAUGAAGCUGAUAUGGUCCGUGUUUCAGAUCCGCGUGACGCAAGUUUCUCUCCUAGUACAUAUCUUCUGAGUUGCUGCUGGCGGCGCGCGCGCAUGUGUAUCUGUGCGUGUGUGUGUGUGUGUGCGGCGCCUGCUGCCGAGCGCUGCCCCUCUAGAUCCCUGCUUUCGCUGCCCGCAGCACGGCGUUGUCGGUUGGGCGUGACUCCUUGCACCUCAUAGGUACGACCCUAUCUCGCAACCCCCAGAUUCGCGAGCCCCUGUGCGCGGCGGCUGUGCCGAGUUAUCGAAGACGCAUCACCUUAACCCCUCCCUGCCCUCCCCACUUUAGCCGCUGCGGCUGGCGUGCCGGUGCGCGCGUGCGUCGUGCGAGCUUUGCUGAUGAUGCGUGAGGAGCGCUCCUCCCAUCCUCCAAAAGAGCAGAA